rnacentral:rRNA from 1 species
CGAACGCUGGCGGCGUGCUUAACACAUGCAAGUCGAACGGUGAAGCGCCUUCCUUUUUGGUGGGUGUGGAUGAGUGGCGAACGGGUGAGUAACACGUGAGUAACCUGCCCCCUUCUUCUGGAUAACCGCAUGAAAGUGUGGCUAAUACGGGAUAUUCUGGGUCUGUCGCAUGAUGGGUCUGGGAAAGAUAUUGUUUCGGUGGGGGAUGGGCUCGCGGCCUAUCAGCUUGUUGGUGGGGUGAUGGCCUACCAAGGCGGUGACGGGUAGCCGGCCUGAGAGGGUGGACGGUCACACUGGGACUGAGACACGGCCCAGACUCCUACGGGAGGCAGCAGUGGGGAAUAUUGCACAAUGGGCGCAAGCCUAAUGCAGCGACGCCGCGUGAGGGAUGGAGGCCUUCGGGUUGUGAACCUCUUUCGCCAGUGAAGCAGGCCUGCCUCGUUUGUGGGUGGGUUGACGGUAGCUGGAUAAGAAGCGCCGGCUAACUACGUG